rnacentral:piRNA from 1 species
UAAUGAGGGUUCAACCUGUCCUCCAGC